UACGGAGGGUGCAAGCGUUAUCCGGAUUCACUGGGUUUAAAGGGUGCGUAGGCGGGCAGGUAAGUCCGUGGUGAAAUCUCUGAGCUUAACUCAGAAACUGCCAUGGAUACUAUCUAUCUUGAAUGUCGUGGAGGUUAGCGGAAUAUGUCAUGUAGCGGUGAAAUGCUUAGAUAUGACAUAGAACACCCAUUGCGAAGGCAGCUAACUACGCGAUAAUUGACGCUGAUGCACGAAAGCGUGGGGAUCAAACAGG
rnacentral:rRNA from 1 species